rnacentral:rRNA from 1 species
UACGUAGGGGGCAAGCGUUGUUCGGAAUUACUGGGCGUAAAGGGCGCGUAGGCGGCACAGCAAGUCGGGAGUGAAAGCCCGGGGCUCAACCCCGGAAUGGCUUUCGAAACUGCUGAGCUAGAGUACAGAAGGGGCAACCGGAAUUCCCAGUGUAGCGGUGAAAUGCGUAGAUAUUGGGAAGAACACCUGAGGCGAAGGCGGGUUGCUGGGCUGAUACUGACGCUGAGGCGCGAAAGCUAGGGGAGCAAACGGG